AUACUACUCCCCUCGUCUCAAAAUUCUUGUCUUUGAUUUGUCUAGAAAUGAUGUAUCAAAACAUGACUAAAUACAUUUAUAUCUAGACAAAUCUAAGACAAGAAUUUUGGGAUGGAGGGAGUAUGAA
rnacentral:pre_miRNA from 1 species